rnacentral:rRNA from 1 species
GUGACGAAAAAUAACGAUACGGGACUCAUCCGAGGCCCCGUAAUCGGAAUGAGUACAUUUUAAAACUCUUACUGAGAAUCAAUUGGAGGGAAAGUCUGGUGCCAGCAGCCGCGGUAAAACCAGUUCCAAUAGCGUAUAUUAAAGUUGUUGCGGUUAAAAAGCUCGUAGUCGAACUUGUGUCCCGUGCCACUGGUGCAUCGCUCGCGGUGUUCAACUGGUGUGCCACGGGACGUCCUGUCGGUGAGGCUUGUACGCUUGCGUGCAAGUCUCUGCUUGCUUCCGUCUUGUGCGGUUGUGACUCCCAUCGCGGUGCUCUUUAUUGAGUGUCAAGGUGGGCCGACACAUUUACUUUGAACAAAUUAGAGUGCUUAAAGCAGGCCAAUGAUGCCUGAAUAUUUUGUGCAUGGAAUAAUUGAAUAGGACCUCGGUUCUAUUUUGUUGGUUUUCUGAACCCCGAGGUAAUGAUUAAUAGAGACGGAUGGGGGCAUUCGUAUUGCGACGUUAGAGGUGAAAUUCUUGGAUCGUCGCAAGACGGACUAAAGCGAAAGCAUUUGCCAAAAACGCUUUCAUUGAUCAAGAACGAAAGUUAGAGGCUCGAAGGCGAUCAGAUACCGCCCUAGUUCUAACCAUAAACGAUGCCAACUAGCGAUCCGCAGACGUUCCUCCGAUGACUCUGCGGGCAGCUCCCGGGAAACCAAAGUUUUUGGGUUCCGGGGGAAGUAUGGUUGCAAAGCUGAAACUUAAAGGAAUUGACGGAAGGGCACCACCAGGAGUGGAGCCUGCGGCUUAAUUUGACUCAACACGGGAAAACUUAUCAGGCCCGGACACCGGAAGGAUUGACAGAUUGAUAGCUCUUUCUUGAUUUGGUGGU